GCGGACCCCGGGCGCCGCGGGUCGCGGGCUCGGGGCAGGCCCGGGGAGAGGCCGGCGCGCGGCCUCGGGUCCCGCCCCGACCCCGACUUUCGCGAGAAAUUAGAGUUACACGGAGGGACUGUUUGCUUUACGUUGUAAGACACCAGAUCUCUCGAAGCCCGACGCCGCGCCGCAUCCUGCCCAGGACAGCGGCUCACACGGCUCCUCACACGGCUGCUCAAGCACAGGAGCCCAGGAAGACACAGCCCCGCCAGGUGGCCCUGCACAGAGCGGAACUAGGGCAAAUCCCGAAGUCACAGCGCCCGGAUCCAAACGGACAGCCCUCCGCCUGGCAGAAGGGCCCCCGAGGAAGGGGAGUGACGUCGGGGCGAGCCCCCCUGCCCUCCUGUCUGCCGGCUCCCAUCACAGGCAGAGCCUUCUCGGUUUCGUUUCCUUCCUGCUCCCAGCCGUGGCUUCCUCUUUUUUUCUUUCUCGACUGCCGUGAUUUAAGGCGGGUUCCUGUGCCCACAGAUUCUGGGAUUCCUUUGGUUGCAAGUGUCGGAAAGCAGGCCGAGUGCAGCUCUCAGAGCCGGGGCACCUCUCUGCUGGCGGCGGGCGGUGGGACCAUCGUCCUCCUCCCUUUCCCUUUGCUCCGGGCCACCUCGGUGCGCUGCACACGUCCAUCCUGCCAGCCCUACGACCGACGUUGGUUGACCUGAGCGGGGUCAAGGGCCGAGGUGGAGCUGGGUGGGUGCAGAGUAAAGCUGCUGCCUUCCCUAAGGGAAGUGACGUGGUUGGGACCAGAAUGACAGGUGGAGGCUGGCAGGAAAACCAGAGGGGGAGGUCUCCUCGCUGUGGGAGGGGAAUGAGUCUGGAGGGUUCCGAGCUGUCUGCUCCCAUCAGUGUCACAACAGUAGAAGGAGGAGAGGGCCCUCGCCAGAGAGGCAUCCAUAGUCCUGAGUGCAGCUCCACUCUCUAGAAGGUUCUAGACUGUCCCCCUCCUGCCCAAGGGCAUGCUCACUGCUGGUAGUGGCAGAGGUCAGGGACCCACCCUGAGCCUGGCCUGCCUCCCUGGUGUGCUGAUGGUCCUGCAGCCCAUCCUGGGCCUCUUUGUCUCCCUGGCAGCGGAGCAGGAGGCAAGCGGCAGGGAGGGGCCAACACGCAGCACCUGCCACGGGCGAAAGUGAAGGAGCAUUGCCCGGAGCAUCACCGAGAGAGCCAGCAGGGCUGAUGGUGGGCGCAGAGUGAGAUGUGGGUGCAGCGCUGGAAUCCAGGCCUGGAGACGCGUACCCUGCCUGUGCCUCUCUGAGCCACUAGAGUCCAGAAAGGUCUCCAGCACGAGUGCACCCCCCCUUUGGCCGUGAGAAUGGGUCUGAGCCCCCGCCUCGGAGACACCCCUGUUCUCUGAGGAUUUUCUUCAUUGUAUGGAAGCCCCUUUGCAGUGGUGAUGGUGUCUGGGCCGGGAGCUAGGGCCUGAGCAGUGCACGAGACUAGAUGUUGGGCUGGGUGCCAAGGUCAGCCCCAGUGCCAGCCCCCAGAGUUAAGGGGGCACCCUUAUCUUGCCACCUUCUUACUCGGGAGGUGUCCAGAGGCCUUUCCCCUUUCCCAGGUGUUCCAUCUCCCCUGAACACUCAGCGUAUUGGGGGCAGUAGGAUCUCAGGCCUUGCCUGGAGGUUGGCAGACAGUGCAGCUGGGAAAUCACUGCCCAGAUGUGGGGCCUGGUCUGCCCCCUCCAAGGCCAGCGAGAGGAAGGUGCUGUCACCAUGGAGAAGUCCCAGGGGACUGGCAAGAGUGCCAGCACCAGUACCGCGAGUCCCGUCCUUGCCCCAGACCGGGGUGGUGGUCCUCCUACACUCAGGGCAGGGCUGGGAAGCAGCUCAGGGCUCCCUGAGAAGGCAGGUGCUCUGGCACCCCGCACCGCCGACUUCCCCGUCGCUUCUGAUUGUCAGUCCCCACCUCUGGGCUGCGCGGCCGGGCAGGCAUGUAGCCACGUGGGUCCUCGGCACCCAGCUCUGAACCAGAGGGUCCCUGGCCCCGAGCAGUGGCCCUGGGGCUGGCGCCGGCAGGCUGCCGGGCUGUGGUCGGAGGCGAGAAGGCGACCACAUGGAGCUGCCGCCGUCGACCCCGGCUCCGCAGACCCCGGCCCGGGUGGCCCGGGAGUAGAGGGCUAGAAGCAGGAAGAAUAAAAGUGCGUCUCUUCAUCAGCUUA